rnacentral:rRNA from 1 species
UACGUAGGGUCCGAGCGUUGUCCGGAAUUAUUGGGCGUAAAGGGCUCGUAGGCGGUUCGUCACGUCGGGUGUGAAAACUCGGGGCUUAACCCCGAGCCUGCUUCCGAUACGGGCAGACUAGAGGUAGGUAGGGGAGAACGGAAUUCCUGGUGUAGCGGUGGAAUGCGCAGAUAUCAGGAGGAACACCGGUGGCGAAGGCGGUUCUCUGGGCCGUUCCUGACGCUGAGGAGCGAAAGCGUGGGGAGCGAACAGG